AUUAAACGCUGGCGGCAUGCCUUACACAUGCAAGUCGAACGGCAGCACGGGGGCAACCCUGGUGGCGAGUGGCGGACGGGUGAGUAAAGCAUCGGAACGUAUCCUGGAGUGGGGGAUAACGUAGCGAAAGUUACGCUAAUACCGCAUAUUCUGUGAGCAGGAAAGCAGGGGAUCGCAAGACCUUGCGCUCUGGGAGCGGCCGAUGUCGGAUUAGCUAGUUGGUGGGGUAAAGGCCUACCAAGGCGACGAUCCGUAGCGGGUCUGAGAGGAUGAUCCGCCACACUGGGACUGAGACACGGCCCAGACUCCUACGGGAGGCAGCAGUGGGGAAUUUUGGACAAUGGGCGCAAGCCUGAUCCAGCCAUGCCGUGUGAGUGAAGAAGGCCUUCGGGUUGUAAAGCUCUUUCGGCGGGGAAGAAAUUGCACGGGUUAAUACCCUGUGUAGAUGACGGUACCCGAAUAAGAAGCACCGGCUAACUACGUG
rnacentral:rRNA from 1 species